GGGAAGCCAUAAGAAAGAAAAGGUUAUGCGCAUGCUCAGUAGCACGUGGUACAACUGUAAGGGACCAAUAUGGCUGAAGGAGAAGGAGAACCACGACGAGAAAAAGCAGCAAAAGAAGCGAAUGAAAAUGUGUAAAGCGCUCAAUAAAGGUUUUGAACCCUUGGACACUAAUAGAGAUAUGAAGGUACUUACUCAACGGCGGUAUGGUGGUAAAAAUGUUACUAGCAGUAAAGAAUACUCUUUAGAUGUUUCUAGAGGUACAGAAUUCAUCUCAAAUUGACUAGUAGGAGCUACACUUGUUGAUAAAAGGUCGUCGCGAUGACUGAAAUCAUUCUGGAAUAUAAUGGGCAUGCAAUUCAAUCGAUCUUUGCAGAAUAAAGACUACUAUUAUAUCAGUUUAUUUACAAAAUCUUUUAUUAAUAACAUAUUUUGCUGUUUUAUGCAAUUCAAUCGAUCUUUGCAGAAUAAAGACUACUAUUAUAUCAGUUUAUUUACAAAAUCUUUUAUUAAUAACAUAUUUUGCUGUUUUACAAAUGACCUUUUGUUAUCAUUGUUAUCACAACUGAACAAGCCAUGCAUUA